UAUAAAACCACGCGGGACUUCCGCUCGUCCUCUUCCGCCGCUGCAGCUCCAGCUAACACGUCGUUGAGAACUCGAGACCGUGUCUCGUCACACACGCUGUAGCAGGAUGACGUUGGAUGGAGACGCCGACACCUGCGUCGUCCUGGAACCACAGCAGAGAGUCGGAGCUUCUCGGUGUCUUCAUGCUGCAGACUGACACUGGAGCAUGAGGAGCAGCUCGCCUGCAGGGGGCAGCAAACGCCUGUAAAGUGUUCAGUGACCUCACACCAGGCUGCUGGGAAUGAGUGGGUAAGAUCUGCAGUAUAAUCACAACAUUUAAUGAUUGUAUGGAUCAAAUGUAAAGUGUUAUAAAUAAACUUUGUUCUUGCACCACA